rnacentral:rRNA from 1 species
AACGAACGCUGGCGGCAUGCCUAACACAUGCAAGUCGAACGAAGGCUUCGGCCUUAGUGGCGCACGGGCGCGUAACGCGUGGGAAUCUGCCCUUUGGUUCGGAAUAACAGCUGGAAACGGCUGCUAAUACCGGAUGAUGACGAAAGUCCAAAGAUUUAUCGCCAGAGGAUGAGCCCGCGUUGGAUUAGGUAGUUGGUGGGGUAAAGGCCUACCAAGCCGACGAUCCAUAGCUGGUCUGAGAGGAUGAUCAGCCACACUGGGACUGAGACACGGCCCAGACUCCUACGGGAGGCAGCAGUGGGGAAUAUUGGACAAUGGGCGCAAGCCUGAUCCAGCAAUGCCGCGUGAGUGAUGAAGGCCCUAGGGUUGUAAAGCUCCUUUACCCGGGAAGAUAAUGACUGUACCGGGAGAAUAAGCCCCGGCUAACUCCGUG